UCUCUCCUUCUCUCCCCGCCCGCCCGCAUUCUGUAUUGCAGCUACGAGCAGCGGCAGCCGGGCUUCCAAGCAGCAGACACGCCCCCUUCCUACAAUCUACUACUGCACACAUGAUGGAGAGAGAAACGGAAAGAGAAGAGCAGGUGCGACUGAGGCCACAGAGCCAGGCCCCCUGUCUCGUGCAGGUUGUGAGUAAAAGAUUAUGGAAAGUCCUCCUGGUGGAGAUCCAUGCUCAGACAUCUACACAUCCACUUGCCAGCUAGCAAGUGCUCUCAGAAGCAGCACACUGUUGAACAGGACACCCAGAAAAGGAUCUGAGAGGGGACUGGUGGCAACCACAAAUAAUGGCUGGCUAGUGAGCUAAGCCUACAUUUGUGGAUCUCUAUCCAUACUGCUCCUUCCCUGUUAUCUCUCCACAAGCAACUGAAGACUGUUUUGUUUACCCAGGCUUUUCUGUCUGAUUUUCUGAUGGCUAUCCUGAAACUCUCAUUCUCUCUUGGCAAUUCCAAUGGAAAGAUUCAGGAUAAAGGAUGCCACCUCCUCCCUGUGGCAUGAGGCCAACUCAUAUGAAUGAUUCCUAGUCACAUCAUCUAGAAUUGCCUACCACAUGGGUUCCUGAAUGUUUUACCCCACAAGGCAGGUAACAGCUCUGGAGAAGCAAUUUGGCUUGGAAGAAAUGGCCCUGAUCCAAAUCAGGAUCUCAUACAGCUGCAUUUAGCCCUUUAAAAAACAAAUGAACUGUGGGAAAGCCGAUCAUGGGAUUCCUGUCAUCAAAUCUAUCUGUACCCCAAGAAUGCACAACACAGCAAACAUUCAAACCCUCUACAUGCAGCAUUUUAUACUGAGUCCGGAGCAGACAAGGACUUCACUCAGAACUAUUGCUCUUGGCUUGCUCCCUACUUCUGGAGUCUGACCUGCACCCUGGAAGUGACACAGCCACUGCUCCUAUCUCAAUCAAGACAAGGAUUGAAAGAGGCUAGGUCAGAAAUAGAGAUCUCCUUCCCCACCCACUGGUAUGCCUAAACAUGUGCCGGGCAGUGCAGAUAGCUUGCACUGGAGGAGGAAAUCUUGAAUCUGAACAGUGGCUUGAGAAUGCAGAAUUCAUUAGAUGUUUCUAGUCCUCAUGCUCUUGGCUGCAAAGGAAAAAUUGUAUCCAUCUGAGCAUAAAUAAAUAGAGACAGGCUUUCAGUAGCGAGGAGAAAGCUACCUGACUUCUACAGGCCGCUAUCUAAGUGCAUGGUUCAUGGUCCUUUUCUUGACAGUUUUAUCCCCAAAUAACUCUCUAUCUGAAAUAACCCCCCUUUCCAAAAUAAUAUUUAAGGAUUCUGAUCUCUGCAGUUUUGUUUUGUUUUUAAAUUUCCUUGCUAAAUUCAGUCAGUGACCCUUUACAAAAUCUGAGGAUUUGUAAUAGCCUGCGUGGGAGUCCUUGAACUCUUCUCCUUACUAUCAAUUUGUGAGUGAUCAACACUUAAAUAAAUACAUAUACAAGA